rnacentral:lncRNA from 10 species
CUUUUUUUUUUUUUUUUUGACACAGAGUUUCGCUCUUGUUGUCCAGGCUGGAGUGCAAUGGAGCAAUCUCGGCUCACCGCAACCUCCGCUUGUCGGGUUCAAGCGAUUCUCCUGACUCACUCAGCCUCCUAAGUAGCUGGGAUUACAGGCAUGUGCCACCAUGCCCGGCUAAUUUUUUAUUUAUUUAUUUAUUUUUUAUUUAGUAGAGACAGGAUUUCACUAUGUUGGUCAGGCUGGUCUCGAACUCCUGACCUCAGGUGAUCCACCUGCCUCAGCCUCCCAAAAUGCUGGGAUUACAGGUGUGAGCCACCACGCCUGGCCCACAUGUUCUUUUUUGUACCACCUUUCUCCCUUGACCUUGACUAACAGGAUAAAUAAUUAUCAUUGUCACUUUACAUCUAACACUUCCUGUGUGCCAGGAACUGCAAAUGUGUGAAGUGCUUCGCAUACAUCAGCUCAUUGUGGUAGAAAGGUGUGAGACCUUUCCUCACCCAUCAUAAAGGUCACAACUGGCAUUCCUAUAACAAAAGACAGAUUAACAACAUAAAAGAGUAGCAAAUUUAUUUAAUCAAAAUUCUGUGUGACAUGGGAGCCUGCAGAAAUGAAGACCCAAAGAUCCAGGGAAAACCGUCUAUUUUAUAGUUAGGGAUAGACAGCCAUGUAGAAAUGUGAUUGGACAAAAGGGUGUGAUCGAAUGGUAAUUGACAUGGGGAAAGCCAGUGAGGCCUGUCUGUUCAGAUGCUUUUUGGUGUCUCUGUAAAGCAUUCCCCGCCUCCCGUGGGUCAGGGGCCCUCUGAAUUGAGGUUCUUUAAGGGCAAAGGGAGAAGGGAAAGAGUGUGGCCUUUUUAGGUUUUACAGCUCGCUUUGGGGAAGAGGAGUUCUAGUUUCUAUGACCCGGCUUGUGAUGGAGAAAUUCUGGUUUCUAUGACUCCCUUCAGGGGAGAAAGAAGGGCAGGAGAAGGUCGGAGAGACUUUGCUCCUGAGGCCUUUCCAAUCUUCAGUUCAAAGUAUUCAGCACAUCAAGGUGUCAUACUUUGGGGUACUGUGUUCUGAGCCCCAACAAGCUCAUUUAUUCUUUAGAAUAAGCCUAUAUUGGGGUUCAGGAUAUGCUACACCAAAAUAUGACAUCUUGGCAUUUGAGAAAACAGCAGAAGCAGAAGGGUCACUCUUACCUUCCUCUCAUCCUUCUCCCCUGAGCAUGCCAAAAAAGAAUUCUUUCACCUUUCUCUGAAAUAGAUCAUAAGACCUUCCAGAGAUACCUUCUCUAUACCAUUUAGUGACUGCUUGCUGUAGGGUACCAUGCCCUACAUGAAUUACAGCCAUUUUCUCAUUUCACUCCUCAAAAGCAAGUAGCUUUGGCUGGCACAGUGUGUGUUUUGCUGGGAGCUGGUGGAAGUGGAUGACCCUUGCAAUAUAAGAAGUUGGCAUCUUAAUCCAUUCACUCGGGAUUUCUGCCAGCAUAGCCAGGAAUAUUUGGAUUAGGUGACUGCAGCAAAAUAAGAGGUGUAUUCUCUUUGGUUUUCAGGUCUUUUAUUUGGUUUGUGGUUUCAGUUAAUUUAGGAAUAAGACAGGAAAAAGUAUGAAUAAGACCUGGUUCCUAAUGACAAGGAAUUCAGAACUCAACAGGAAAGACAGAUCUGUAGCAAACAUCUGUAAAACAAA